CAAUUUCCAUAAGGUGAAUACAGAAAGGAACUACAAGCAUUGGAAAUGAAUGGGGGAGUUUAAUUCAGCCGCGUUUCACUCCCACUGAGGAGGCAUACAGAUGGCUGCACAGAACUCAGCAAAAACAGAGCCAGGAGUCAGGGAGAGGGAGACUUCAACUGGGGUUUCGAGUGGAGUUGCUCAUUUAUUUCCCCCUGUAUCAGUCUGCCUCCUGGGAUAUCGCAUGGACAGCUGGCCUAGGCAGGAUUUUGCAGAAGGAAAGAAGAAUAUUCACACUAAGGUCCCUGAAGCCACACUUCUGCAAACUAGCAGCUACCAAAAAGGUCAUCACUGGCUGCAGUCCCUGAAGGUUGUCCCUCUCCUGGCUCUGGUUACCCAUAAGGUCACCACAUACAUCCUCAAGGACACCUCGUCACAUCUCCCAUGCCAGUGUCUACCACUCUUUGCCAAGGUAUACAACUGGUAGACUCUGCAGAAAGAAACUAGCAACAAGGAAACUGCAUGCAGUUUUUCUAAAAUGGAGUUUUGCUAUGAAGAAUGUGAUUAAAGCUCUCAUAUGAGAGCAAGAACCAAAUUCCUGAAUGAUUUCUAUUAGGAGACAAUGGACUAGAGAAGUAACUCCAUGGAUUCAGUAGGAGUACACAAGGGAUAGGGUCAAAGCAAGUAUUCUCAUUCUGACUGGAAUCCCUGCUUCAGAAUUCUGUAUUUGGAGCACUUCAGGAGAUGCCCGAAGUUUCUACUACCAUACUUAUAGAAUCACCAAAGCAGGAAAUACGAGCUCAUGCCAGCUUUCUUAGGGGGAAAAAGAAGAUCUUCAAACCAACAGUAUAAUUCUAGCAUCUCCAGAAAUGCUAAAGCCCUGACAAUUGCCUGAAGAAAAGUGUUGCAACGCAGGCAUAAAUUCAACCUUUAUGAGACAUUAUACAGAAAGAAGACUCCAGAAGAGUAGAUGGCCUGUGUCUUCACUUCUCUGGAGCAGGCUGAUUUCAUUUGACUGCCUCAGUACACAGCAUCCAAUCCUGUGUCUCUGCCAAGACCUUUUCUGCCCUGAGACAUAAUUAUUACUCUUGGGAAUUUUUUCAACUAUAAUGUGAGGAAUGAAUCACAGACCAGCAGACAAGUCAUUUUUGGCAUGAACUUGAAUUGCAUAGCCGGACACAUCUGGCUCUGUAAAAUGCAGAGCAGUAUCAGUCUUCAUACCUGGCAGGAUCUAUUCUUGUUCUGAGCUGUUCCCAAAACUCUAUGUAUCAGGGUUUGUUUUGGAGAGCAAUUCAAAUAAGGACCUUGAAAGGAACUAACUUGCUUAGACUGCGAGCAGUUAAAGGACUAUAUAUCCCAGAACUAAACUGUGAGAUAAGGCUUUUUGGUAAAGUAGAAUCACUGUUGGGUUGAGCACUCCAAGUAUGCUAAAUUAUUUUUAGGAGAAAAGUCUGAAGUGCUUCAUGCCACUGCUCAGUUUGCCAGUGUCCACUGCAAAGAUGAGAUCCCUCCUGGAGACUGUCGCACCACUCUGCACUCACACGACAUCCAUGGGAACUGGCGAGCACCAACAAAGAUUGUGCAGAGAGGCCUGAAAGGAUCUGGCCACACCUAGCCACAGUGCCUGCUUGUCACCCAGAGCCUUUGGUGGAAGUGGAUUUCUUCAGGCAGUGGAGGAAGAUUCACUUCAUACUUCUGCUGUGAAUUCCUGCCUUCUCAUUGUACCUCUAGUACUGCCUUCAUACGAUGAAUUGAGUUACCAUAUGAUUUAGACUGUCUGGAGCAUCGUAACACUUGUACACUCACUUCCACAGUCUCCUGCCAAUGAUAAAACAUGAUGUAAUGAGAAGAUGGCAGACAGGUCCCUUAAGAACAGGAAGUUUUCAUACACUCUUUCAAGCAUCGCUCCUUUAAGCUCUAAUCAGUAAACUGUGGUUCAUUUUAUUGGAUUUUAAGGCAACUACAAAAAUCGUUUGG
ensembl:lncRNA